rnacentral:rRNA from 1 species
CCCUUAGAUGUCCUGGGCCGCACGCGCGCUACACUGAUGCAUGCAACGAGUUUAUAACCUUGGCCUGAAAGGUCUGGGUAAUCUUUUGAACGUGCAUCGUGAUAGGGAUAGAUUAUUGCAAUUGUUAAUCUUGAACGAGGAAUUCCUAGUAAACGCGAGUCAUCAGCUCGUAUUGAUUACGUCCCUGCCCUUUGUACACACCGCCCGUCGCACCUACCGAUUGAAUGGUUCGGUGAAGAUCUCGGACUUCGAUAUUUAUUCUUUAUUGAGUUUAUAUUGUGGGAAGUUAUCUAAACCUCAUCAUUUAGAGGAAGGUGAAGUCGUAACA